rnacentral:rRNA from 1 species
UACAGAGGUGGCAAGCGUUGUUCGGAAUUACUGGGCGUAAAGGGCGCGUAGGCGGCCUUGUCAGUCAGACGUGAAGUCCCCAGGCUUAACCUGGGAACUGCGUCUGAUACUACAAGGCUUGAGUGCGGGAGAGGGAUGUGGAAUUCCAGGUGUAGCGGUGAAAUGCGUAGAUAUCUGGAGGAACACCGGUGGCGAAGGCGGCAUCCUGGACCGACACUGACGCUGAGGCGCGAAAGCCAGGGGAGCAAACGGG